rnacentral:lncRNA from 1 species
GUUGAGGCACCACUGGAAGGUGGGUGUUCUGAGAGUUCCGGCCAUUGCAGGAGCUCCAUCUGCCUAAAGAGGGGCAAACAAGUUUAAUCCCAGGGUCCUUAAGCUGAGCGAUCUUGCCGGGCCUAUGAAUGUCACAUCCUGGAUCCUGUUCUAAGGAAGGUCUGCCCACGUGAAUGGCUAUUAGGAACAGAGCUGUCAAAUAUCUCAGAUUACACCUUCUUUUUCGCCACUUUGGAUUAAUGUGGCCUUUAUUUCCCGCUUUUCCUCCAAAGGACUAGAGUUAGCACACCUUUUUCCCCCAUCUCCGUUUUCUCCUGAGUCCCCUGAGGUACAGCAAACUGGCCCAAGGCAAUUUCGGCCGCUGAAUGGGAAUUGAACCCACGGCAUCUUAGAAAUGAGUCCAACCCUCUAGGUGCGGCUCUUCCUAGGCUCAGAGUCCUCGCAUAGAUUCCUCAGGCUGCGUUUGCAAGGGAAAGAAGCGUGAGGGUGACCUUCAGACGACAGACGACGACCUUGGCAUCCUUAAGGAACCCUNCGAAGGGCAGGGAAAGGCAAGCUUUUCAGACCCAGUUUUACGGCGAAGCGUCCCAGCGGAGGGAAACGAAUGUGGUUCUGGAAACAGUUCGAGCAAACAAGCCGACGCUGAGGCACCGCCGUCAAGUUUAGCAACCAAACUGUCGCUCCCGCAGUCCAUUGAGCAAAGUGGCGUCAAUCAAAAUGGUCUCAACGCGAUUUGCCUUGAGCUGCACGUGCAGAGACGGCUGUGUUUGGGUAUUUUGAAAGCCAGCAGCAAUCGGGAAAUCGGACCGCCUUUCUCGCCCCUCUCUUACACCUACGAGUCGUUA